UCCUAGUUUCCCAGGCAGUCCCACCAGAGUGCUCUACUCACGUAGAUAGCAACUGAUGGCAAGGGUUGCGCUCGUUAAAGGACUUAACCCAACAUCUCACGACACGAGCUGACGACAGCCAUGCAGCACCUGUGAAUAUGUCUGAACCGAAGCUCAGAAAAUCGUAUUUCUACGACAGUCAUAAACAUGUCAAGUCUAGGUAAGGUUCCUCGCGUAGUAUCGAAUUAAACCACAUGGUCCACCGCUUGUGCGGACCCCCGUCAAUUCCUUUGAGUUUUAGUCUUGCGACCGUAAUCCCCAGGCGGAUCACUUAACGCGUUAGCUACGACACCAAUUUCGCAAGCGAAACUGACGUCUAGUGAUCAUCGUUUACAGCGUGGACUAC
rnacentral:misc_RNA from 1 species